GUUCACUUUAUGUAGCAAAUGGCGAGUGGAAGGCUAUUUUUGCGCAAUCUCCCAUUGUCUUCCUAUAGUUGUGAGCUAUUUUCUGUUCCGUUUGUGUUGUUCAUGGUUGCUCGGGUUGUAUGAUAUAAAAAGCAACUUGAUGUUGAUUUAUGUAUAGUUUUUGAAGGGCAUACCAAUCCAAGGAAAACUUUGACAUGUCUUAAUUUGGAAAAACUGAUAGUUUGGUAGUCGAACCUUUAAGGUGAUUAGUAGUGCAAGGAGCUGAGCAAGAGCAAUGGACAUUUUUAGUUUUAUUUACUAGAAGACAGCUUCUACCUAGGCUAAAUAUUACGGUUAGAUUGGUGCUCAUUUUCUAUAUCUGAUUGAUGGAACAGGAACGUGUCUUCCUUUUUGUUCUGUCUUGGGCUAUGGAGUAGGAAACAGGCUGAUCAAACUCUCCUUUGCCAAGUCUUGUCAACACGGAUCACAUCGAGGUUCUACUGAGUGCAUUGCACAUUGGAAGAUUGGAAAGUGUCUAGUGGGGAGGUUAAAAAAGUCUCGUGUCAAGAUUUUUCAGAUGCAGAUUUUGCAGGUGAUAUGAUCGACAGGAAAAGUACUAGCGGCACAUGACAACUAUUGGGAAAUGCACUAGUUUCCUAGCAUAGGGGAGAACAUGUAUGAAGAAAUAAAUCAACAACUCAAGGGGAGCAGUAAUGAGUACAACUCGAAAGUUGCACCGAUUUUUUUUUAUUGAUGUCAAAGGGGAAGAACAUGUAUGGAGAAGUAAAUCAACAACUCAGGGGGAGCAAUAAUGGGUACAACUCUAAAGGGAAGUAUACUCUGUUUACUCUCUCUUUAUUGUCAUCAUCAAAAAGAGGAGAUUGUUAUAUCUAAGUUUCAAUGAUGACAAGUGUACAAAACUAAUAACUAUUUACUUUUGACUGCAAAGAACAAGACAUCAGGCCCUUCGUUGUUGAUCAAGCUAUCAAAACGACAGUAACUCAAAUCUAACAAAAAUCAAGAAAGAAUGACAAAAGAAAUGGGAGACAAGUUGGGUGGAAAACACAUCAUAGUGUGAGACAAUCGGAAGUGGUGCUUCUUGUCAUCAAGCACUCCUUCAUUAUUUAAUCCGCCCACCAACUGGAAACCAUUUGACAUGCGCUCAUCUCUUCAAAGAAAGUAUGAAGCAUCUCGGCAUGGGAAUGACAUGGAACAGAGCACUCCAUGAUUUAACAAACUCCACCCCAUCUCUCUCUCAGUAAUCAGAGACACCCUGCUCUAAUCCAACAAUCAUCUCUCUUGAAGAAAUCAAAGAUACCUUGCUGGAAUCAGACACAAACACACAACAAUACUUGCCUAUAAGAUAUAAUGGAGAGCUACUCUGGACCGGCCUUCCUAGCAACAGAUACUGGCAAUUUCCUGGAUCCUCAUGGUAGUGAAGAAAAUCAAGAUAUCAAGAGAUUGGAUGCUAUAUCAGAAGGCUUGAGUUACGAUGAUUUUGCCAGCGAUUGAGUGAACUUUCAUUCUGAUGGUCCAAUUAUUCCAGUAUAAUGUUCUGUAAAUGAGGAAAUGCUUCAACCCCCUUUGCAGGCAUUGGUUGGUUACAAUCAAGGUUAUAACUCAAUCAGUAUGGUAUCAUGCCUGUUGUAUGAAGAGUAGGAAAUAAUGUAAGCUAAGAAGUUUCGCAAAAUGAGGUCAGUCCUAGUAAGUAGAAACAAAGCAUAUUAUGAUGUAUAAGUUGUAAAUAGGGCUGUGAUUGUGAAGAUCUGAUGUAAUGUGUAGUCGAGAAUACUUGAACUUUUGUUUUUCUCGGGUACUAUUUUCUCUUUCCUUUUAAUUUUAUUGUUCUGGUGGGAGAAGGGGGUGGGGGGAUUCAAAUAUCUCUUUUAUGUUGGUUUUGCAAAUUUUUGGGGGUACUGACAUUAUGAUUUAUUCAAUCCAAUGCUUGAACUUGGAUGAUUGCUGAUGUGUUCUGAAAGAGCACGGAGCUGUUAGUGUCAAUGGCUAUGGAAUUAUUCCA